GAUGAACGCUGGCGGCGUGCCUAACACAUGCAAGUCGAGCGGAUGGACGCAGCUUUUGCCUGGAUGCAGCGAGGGGCGGGUGAGUGAUUCAUAGGAGUAUGCCUGGCCUUAGGGAAUGACAUCCUGAAGCGAGCGCUGAUACCACAUACGACCAGAUUUUGAAACUGGGGGAUCUUCGGACAACAACGGAUCUGCUGAGCCUAGGUGGGAUUAGCUAGUUGGUUGGGUAACGGCCUACCAAGGCGACGAUCCGUAGCUGGUCUGAGAGGAUGAUCAGUCACACUGGAACGGAGACACGGUCCAGACUCCUACGGGAGGCAGCAGUGGGGAAUCUUGGGCAAUGGGCGAAAGCCUGACGCAGCGACGCCGCGUGUGUGAAGAAGGUCUUCGGAUCGUAAAGCACUUUUAGUUGGGAGGAACGGCUGUAAGUUAAUACGUUGCUGUUUUGACGUUACCAACUGAAUAAGCACCGGCUAACUACGUG
rnacentral:rRNA from 1 species